rfam:Gossypium raimondii Chr04_contig_32, whole genome shotgun sequence.
UGUUAAAAAAUUCUUUCAUUUUCCUAUUAAAAAGUGGCCUUACUGAUAGAAUAACUAGAUAAUGACAUGUUGCGUGCCACGUGUACCUCAUGUUAAUGUAUAAAGAUCGGUUUUUAACCAUAUAAAUGGAUGAAAUUUUUAAAA